AUCAAAUCCUCGUUGACAGACGAUCGGAGUGGAGUGAACUGAAGGCUUCAACAACGAAAACCAACCUGCGACGGUUCUACGAGCAAACUGGAGGCAAAGUCGAGUGUUUUUCGGAGAGAUCUCGAGCGUUCUUCUCCAGCCUUCGCCAACAACACGAACCUACUAACUUACAGAUUCACGGCAGAUGGAGUACAGCAGUGAAGAAGAGUCAGAUUUUAGUGACUCAGAGAUCAAUGAUUACGCUGAGAAACCAUAUGAACAGCUCAGAACCGGAAAGCUUGUUGUAAAAACAGCCAAUGGAAUUCUUAGAUGCCCGUUCUGUAUGGGCAAGAAGAAGCAGGACUACAAAUACAAGGAUUUACUCCAGCAUGCUUCUGGAGUCAGUAAAGGCUCUAAGAACAGGAAUGCUAAACAAAAGGCCAACCAUCUUGCUUUAGCCAAAUAUCUGGAGAAUGAGCUUGCUUCUGAAGCAGACCAGACACAGCGUCCAACUCCACCAACUCCUAGCAGUCAGGAUUCUGAAAAGGAGCUUUAUGUAUGGCCAUGGAUGGGUGUUAUAGUCAAUAUAGAGGUAGGGGAGGACAGAAAUACAGUCUGCGAUUCAGCAUAUUGGAUAAAAAAGUUCGCUAAAUAUAGACCUUUAGAUGUGUUUAUUUUUUGGAAUGAUAAUGAACCGAAAGCUCAGGCCAUAGUUGAAUUCAACAAUGAUUGGAAUGGUUUUGUGAAUGCAACGGACUUCGAAAAGUUGUUUGAGACCAACGAUCAUAGCAAAAGGAAUUGGAAAACCAAGACUCAUUCAAGCUUGGAUAUUUAUGGUUGGUGUGCACGGGCUGAUGAUUAUAAUUCAAAUGAACCUAUAGGAGAGUUUCUUCGACAAAGAGGGAAAUUGAGGACUGUCUCAGACAUUGUGAAUGAAGCAACUCGAAGUAGAAAUACUGUUGUGGAGAAUCUGACACAUGAAAUUGAUUUGACAAACGAAAACCUGGAUGAACUACACUACAAGUACAAUGAGAAGACAAUGUCUUUGAGUAGGAUGCUUGCAGAGAAAGACCAGCUUCACCAAGCUUUUGUUGAAGAAACUAGAAAGACACAAAGACUUGCACGAAAUAAUGUUCAAAGAAUAUUAGAAGAACAAGAAAACUUGCACCAAGAAUUGGAGGCGAAGAAAAAGAAACUUGAUUCUUGGAGCAAGCAAUUGAACAAACGUGAAGCAUUGACUGAACUUGAGAGACAAAAACUUGAUGAAGAGAAGAAAAAGAAUGAUAUGAGGAACAAUUCGCUCCAAUUGGCUUCUAUGGAACAGAGAAGGGCUGAUGAAAAUGUCUUACGUCUUGUUGAAGAACAGAAGAGAGAGAAAGAAGAGGCUUUAAGCAAAAUUCUUCAGCUGGAAAAGCAGCUGGAUGCCAAGCAGAAGCUGGAAAUGGAAAUUCAAGAAUUGAAAGGAAAACUACAGGUUAUGAAGCAUCUUGAGGAUCAAGAUGAUGAAGGAGUGCAACAGAAGAUGAAAGAAAUGGGCGAUGAUUUAGAUCAAAAGGUUGAGGAUUUGAAUGAUUUGCAGGAGUUGAAUCGAACUCUUGUUACAAAGGAGCGUGAAAGCAACGAUGAGUUACAAGAGGCCCGUAAAGAAUUAAUAAGUGGAUUGCAAGAUCAAUCAUCAAAUGCUCGUGUUAAUAUUGGAAUAAAGAGAAUGGGAGAUAUUGACAUUAAACCGUUCCAGAACACCUGCAAACAGAAGUUUUCUCCUGAUGAGGCAAUGGUGCAAGCCUCCACUUUAUGCUCCUUGUGGCAGGAUAAUUUGACAGAUCCAAAUUGGCAUCCAUUUAAAGUUGUUACUAUCGAUGGGGAUUCCCAGGAGAAUAUUGAUGAGGACGAUGAGAAACUGAAAGGUCUCAAGCAGGAAUGGGGCGAUGAGAUAUACAAUGCCGUUGUUACUGCCCUUAAAGAAAUGAAUGAAUAUAAUCCAAGUGGUCGUUAUUCUGUACCUGAGCUAUGGAACUUUAAGGAAGACAGGAAAGCUACUUUGAAGGAGGUCAUCAACUAUAUUGUUAAGAGCAUCAAGUCACUGAAACGAAAGAGAACAUGAGAAGAUCCGAGAAGGGGAAGAGAACAUGAGUGGAAGGGAAAUGAUUGGAAGAGAAUUGCCAGGCCUUAUUGCUUGUAACUUGUCCAGUGGGACCUUUUCCUAUGGUAAAUGGAGCAAGCAAUUCCUACCUGGGAAGCAAAUGCAUCAUGCUGGCUUUUGUUUGUAGUAUUUCGUCCAAAGAUCCGUUUUCAUACCAGCAACUUCUUGCUCCAAUGCCUCAAAUGUCUCUUCAUGCUUCUUCGCCAUCUUUUGUUUUCUCAGGAUUUUCUGCUCUGAUACCAAUAUGAUGGAAUCCAAUUCCAACACAGGUAUGUGAUAGUAUGAAUGAUUUGUGAUAGUAUGAAUGAUGAACUUUAUUGAAAAAACUCGUUACAAUAUAGGAACUGUAUUGAAGACAUGUCUUCAAUUCAUAAAACUCUCCCUGUCAAAUUUGUAACCUAUCUCUCAAGGUUGAACAGAAUGAUUCAUUCAAAUUAUACCUACUAACUCCCUCUUCUAAAGUCCUAUUUAUAACUUUCUGUUCUACCCAAUGGUCCCCGCUACUAUUAGUUACACUUCAACUGACUUUCUUAACUAACUUUGUAACUACUUACUCAACUAAUUGUUCUUCUUUCUUCUGCUAUACUGAUGGAUUACCGGUGGUCUAUCAGAUAGGUUCCUGCAUAUUUUUAUUUCUUUCGUAGAUCCAUUAAAGAAAUUUUCUUUCAGCUUUCUCAAAGUAGAUGGCAGUAGGCUGCCUGGUUGUAAUCGUAACGUUCCAACUCUCUCUGCAAUCAACUCUCUCUGUAAUCAUAACGUUCAUAAACACCAGCUUUACAUUAAAGGUCAGUUCAAAAUAUUUGGUCUCAAUUUAGAUAAGGGCUUGAAAUUGUGGCCAUUAUGAACUUUCAUAGUUGCUUCUUGUUAAUUUCAUCAUUUCUACGUUGUCUAUUGGUGUUUAUGUUGCUUAAAUUCCUUACCAAGGAAUUCAAUAUGAAUAUGAAUCUCAUGUCAUUCCAGAUGGCCAAA